GUUAGUCUAGGAAUACAGGUAUGAUUUCAAUAUUAAGAAACCUGUCAACAUAAUUCAUCAUGCCAGCAAAUUAGCGGGGGAAAAAUAGUGAUUAUAUAAAUAGAUGAUUAAAAGGCAUUUGAAAAAGUUGAGCAGUCAUCCCAAUUAAAAACUCUCUGUAACAUCUGACUAGAUGUUUUAGUCAGCAGAAGCUAACUUGUCCUACAAAGAGCCCCAAACUUUAUUGGCUUGACACAGUAAGUUAUUUUUCCUCAUGUCAUAAUCCAGUGUGGGACAACAAUGGAGCUCUCCUACCCACAGUCAUUCAAAGACCUGGGCUCUUUCCAUCAGUAGUUCUUCCAUCUUCUAGAAAGAUGUCCCAAGUCCUCUGCAUCUGACUGGUAGAGAAAGGAAGGCAGUGUGGAGAGUGUGGGAGGCUCAGGGUUAGUACUGGAAACAUAAUCUCUUUUUUCCACCCACAUUCUUCUGAUCAAAAUUCAGUUAGGUUGGGUCUACAUAACCAUAAGCAAGACUGGAAAAUGUAGUUGAUCUCUGUUCUCAGGAGAAAAGGAAAAUGUAUGGGUGAGCAUCUAGCCAGUCUCUGCCACAGAAAGUUACCACCUAAAAUAUUAAAGACCUUACCAAAAAACUAAUAACAUAUAUCGUCCCAAAGAGUGAAACACUAAAUAUACUUACACUGAAAUCAGGAAAAAAACUGGGACAUUCACUAUCACCAUUAUUUAUUCAACAUUAUUUUGGAGGUUUUAGCAGGUACAGUAAGAUAAGGAAAGAAAAUAAUAUAAAUUUGGGAAAGAAGAGAUUAAAUUAUCUUUUUGCUGAUAAUAUGCCAACAUACUUAGAAGCUCUAAGAUAUGCUUUUAAAAAGAACAUAUCUGUUUAAUUAACAUGGCUGGACACAAGAUAAAUACACAAAGAUACAUAAAUAUGUGAAUAUACAUACGUGUGUACAUUGUUCUCCAUAUGUUCUCUUCGUUUGCUUCUAUCUAAAUAACUCUUGGGGUUUACACAAGCUCUCAAUGUCAUCUGUGAAACCUACAGACUAUUGCUUAUGGCAGAAAAAAUGCACUCAACUUGUGAGCUACUCGCUUACAUAACCAUGUACUCCACUUUUACCAGAUGAGUUGUUUGUUUACCAAUUUCUAGUUGUGCUUGCUCCUAAACAUUUUUAUGACAGUUGUACUGUUAUUAUAAACCAAGUAACUUGAACAAAUACUACUGAAGCCAACACAUAAUAAUGUGAUAAGAAUGAAUUUUUGUUUUCAUGGAAGCUGUUGUCUGCUUUAGAAAGGUUCAAUAAAGACAGGUUGCAAAAAAAUGCUGUUGGUUUGGGCAUAACAAUUGUAAAGCAUAAGGAGAAAAUUUUAA
rnacentral:lncRNA from 10 species